rnacentral:rRNA from 1 species
GAUGAACGCUGGCGGCAUGCCUAAUACAUGCAAGUCGAACGCUCUACCCCAAAAUUAAGGAAGUGCUUGCACAGAAUUAUGCUUGGAAUUUGUAGAGAGUGGCGAACGGGUGAGUAACACGUAGGUAAUCUGCCUUAUAGACCGAGAUAACUGCUGGAAACGGCAGCUAAUAUUGGAUAAGACUACACUUUGCAUGAAGAGUAGAUAAAAGACGCGUUUGCGUUACUAUAAGAUGAGCCUGCGGUGCAUUAGCUAGUUGGUAAGGUAAAGGCUUACCAAGGCGACGAUGCAUAGCCGGACUGAGAGGUUGAACGGCCACAUUGGAACUGAGACACGGUCCAAACACCUACGGGUGGCAGCAGUAGGGAAUUUUUCGCAAUGGGGGGAACCCUGACCGAGCAACGCCGCGUGAGUGAAGAAGGCAUUCGUGUCGUAAAGCGCUGUCAUAGAGGAAGAACGACAAGUGUAGGGAAUGAUACUUGAGUGACGGUACUCUAAGAGGAAGCCACGGCUAACUACGUGCCAGCAGCCGCAGUAAAA